AUGUCAUUGCAAUAAAUGCACCAUAAUUCAAAUGUAAUCAACACUCAAUUUUUUUUGCAGAAGAUCAACGACAAUGGAUUUGUUUAGGAUGAAGCAACCAAUAUAUGAACAAUGUGUGGAGGGUGGAUAAGUAAUUUCACCUUUACUUGCAAAAAUCUGAGUUUUAAAAAAGGUUUUUUCUUUCAUUUGCGAAUGAAUCAGCAUGCAACAAGUGUCCAAAAAAUUUUCAAACGUGAUAUGAACAAAAUAAUCGAAGUCUCUUUAGUUUCUUCUCUUGUUUGGCCUUUGUUCUAAGUGAAAAUCCUCUUAAAAUCGAGUGUAAGUUGAGUGUGAUAAUCAGCAAACUAUUGACGACGAUGACUAUUGUUGUUCCGACGAUUUGAAAUGUGAGUGUAGUGUUUGUAACCUAAAAUGAUGACAACGUAAGGGAUUCUAUUCUACUAGUUCUACCCAUGUCAAUAAGGACAACAUAACAGAUUUUGAUGGUGGUCUUUGCAGCAAACAACGAGGAAACGUAUAUAUACUAAGGGGUUGAAGAGUUUUUAUGCAGUUGAGAUAAUGUUGAACGGAGUACCUGCCGAGGUGAAGUUUUUCUGAUAGAAUUAUGGAGCCCAGAAUAGCCACAAUGAUCAUGCAUAAAGGGUUGAAGGCUGUGACGAAAACUGGGCCUUUUGUCCUCAAAACAAGCCCUUGCACAUAUGUUUGGUGGUUAAUUACUGUAUAAAGGGGAGCUAAGAGCCUGGAGUCCCAGCCCACUGCCCAUCCACUGGCGCGCCGCUCUACAGCAAGCGCUAUUGCUGCACUUUGCAAGGUCCCUGAUAAGCAUAUCAAGGAGGAUAAAGAGAAUUCUGCUGGGUACUUUUUUAUGUAUUAUAGAUGGGAAUAAAAACAUCUCCAAAGAGUUAUGAAAUUGAGCGGCAUGUAUGUGAAAUGUGAAGACUUACUUGAAGAACGUAAAAACAGGACCAGGCGACGCAGCCAAGAAGGAUUACAAGAGUCCCAGCGACCCAGUGUUUAUCUGAAGACUCACUGCUGCUGCUUUCAUGGUGGCUUUCUGUGUGCGACCAUGGCAUAUUAAGAACAGGGCCUUUGUAAAGUGUCAUCAAUAAAGCUCCUCCAAGAGUAAGUAGGGUCCCCAAUACCUUAGCUUGACUGUAUAUUUCCUUGAUGUUUAUGAUCUCUAAUCUGGGUUCGUAGUAAUUCAUUGAAAUAUUAGCAAAUCAAGAUUAUCGUAAAAUUAGUAUGUCACUUCCGGGUAUGGAAGGUGACUUCAUUGAAGCACUGAAUCUAGAUUACUUCUCUGAUUGUACAAAUGAAAGUUAUUUGCUGCCUGAUUAUUCUACUGAAUAAAGUGGCUUUAAAAUUUCCACCUUUUCCACAA